rnacentral:rRNA from 1 species
CCUACGGGAGGCAGCAGUGAGGAAUAUUGGUCAAUGGGCGAGAGCCUGAACCAGCCAAGUCGCGUGAGGGAGUACUGCCCUAUGGGUUGUAAACCUCUUUUGUCGGGGAGCAACAGCCGGACGUGUCCGGCUGUGAGAGUCCCCGAAGAAAACGCAUCGGCUCACUCCGUGCCAGCAGCCGCGGUAAUACGGAGGAUGUGAGCGUUAUCCGGAUUUAUGGGGUUUAAAGGGUGCGUAGGUUGUUUUUUAAGUCAGCGGUGAAAGUUUGUGGUUCAACCAUAAAAUUUCCGUUGAAAAUUGAAGACUUGCGUGUGUUUGAGGUAGGCUGAAUGCGUGGUGUAGCGGUGAAAUGCAGAGAUAUCACGCAGAACUCCGAUUGCGAAGGCAGCUUACUAAGCCAUAACUGACACUCAGGCACGAAAGCGUGGGGAUCGAACAGGAUUAGAUACCCGAGUAGUC